UAAGGAAUAUUGGUCAAUGGACGCAAGUCUGAACCAGCCAUGCCGCGUGAAGGAUGAAGGUCCUCUGGAUUGUAAACUUCUUUUAUCUGGGACGAAAACGGGAUUUUUAUCUCAAUUGACGGUACCAGAGGAAUAAGCACCGGCUAACUCCGUGCCAGCAGCCGCGGUAAUACGGAGGGUGCGAGCGUUAUCCGGAUUUACUGGGUUUAAAGGGUGCGUAGGUGGGCUUAUAAGUCAGUGGUGAAAUCUCCGAGCUUAACUGUAGAACUGCCGUUGAUACUGUUAUUCUGGAGUGCGGGAGAGAGAGACGGAAUUCCAGGUGUAGUGGUGAAAUACGUAGAUAUCUGGAAGAACACCAGUUGCGAAGGCGGUCUCUUGGUCCGACACUGACGCUGAGGCGCGAAAGCGUGGGGGGCAAACA
rnacentral:rRNA from 1 species